UACGAAGGGGGCUAGCGUUGCUCGGAAUCACUGGGCGUAAAGCGCACGUAGGCGGCUUACUAAGUCAGGGGUGAAAUCCUGGAGCUCAACUCCAGAACUGCCUUUGAUACUGGCGAUCUCGAGUCCGGGAGAGGUGAGUGGAACUGCGAGUGUAGAGGUGAAAUUCGUAGAUAUUCGCAAGAACACCAGUGGCGAAGGCGGCUCACUGGCCCGGUACUGACGCUGAGGUGCGAAAGCGUGGGGAGCAACAGGG
rnacentral:rRNA from 1 species